GUGCAGCAGCGCGGUAAUACCGGCAGCCCGAGUGAUGGCCGAUCUUAUUGGGCCUAAAGCGUCCGUAGCUGGCUGCGCAAGUCCGUCGGGAAAUCCACUCGCCCAACGAGUGGGCGUCCGACGGAAACUGCACAGCUUGGGACCGGAGGGCUCGAAGGGUACGUUCGGGGUAGGAGUGAAAUCCCAUAAUCCCGGACGGACUACCGAUGGCGAAAGCACUCUGAGAAGACGGCUUCGACAGUGAGGGACGAAAGCUCGGGUCUCAAACCGGAUUAGAUACCCGAGUAGUCC
rnacentral:rRNA from 1 species